rnacentral:rRNA from 1 species
CGGAGUCUAGCAUGUACGCAAGUCAUUGGGACUAAACCUAAAGGCAAAAUGAAAGUAAAAGUAUAUUUUAUAUAUCUUAGGGAGGAUAUAAUUUUAUAUCGCACUCCUGGGGCAUCUUAUUUUCAUUACGAAAAGAGGUGCACCAAGAGCGUACACGCUGGGACCCGAAAGAUGGUGAACUAUGCCUGGUCAGGAUGAAGUCAGGGGAAACCCUGAUGGAGGUCCGUAGCGAUUCUGACGUGCAAAUCGAUCGUCGGAACUGGGUAUAGGGGCGAAAGACUAAUCGAACCAUCUAGUAGCUGGUUCCCUCCGAAGUUUCCCUCAGGAUAGCUGGCUCUUAUUCUAAAGAGUUUCAUCCGGUAAAGCGAAUGAUUAGAGGCAUUGGGGUCGAAACGAUCUCAACCUAUUCUCAAACUUUAAAUGGGUGAGAUCUUCGGCUUGCUUAAUUGGAAUCAAAGUGCCAAGUGGGCCAUUUUUGGUAAGCAGAACUGGCGCUGUGGGAUGAACCAAACGUUGAGUUAAAGCGCCUAAAUUAACGCUUAUGGGAUACCAUGAAAGGCGUUGGUAACUUAAGACAUCAGGACGGUGGCCAUGGAAGUC